CUUAUCGCAUUUCGCUGCGUUCUUCAUCGAUGCCAGAACCAAGAGAUCCGUUGUUGAAAGUUUUGAUUGAAUUCGCUUCAAAACAUCCGACGACAAUUGAUGCAGGGUUUGUGUGUUGGACCACCGGGAGGACCGGGUCACCCCCGCGUGUGAGGCGGGAA
rnacentral:rRNA from 1 species